AGGUGCACAACUUAUGGAGAAACAGAAAAACGAAGAAGCCAAACAACCCAGUUGCAAUUCAAGGUGGAGUCAAGGAGAGGGUGGAGAGGUAUGGUGUGAAAAUGGCUUCCCAAGGUUAGUUCAGAGGCCUCGAGAAAUCGCUUUGACUGGGAAGAUGAGCAAACGAUGCGCUUGCUUUGCAGAAGAUCAAUUAAGCCAGCAAGGGCUAGAAGUGUAUGAAGGAUGUGAUUAUCUCGCCAAGACUUGCCGUGUUUAACCUGAUGCAAAAGUAAUUGUGUUCUCUUGUUGAUUUUAUGUUGAAACACCUUGAAAUGACUCCAUAAUAG
rnacentral:misc_RNA from 1 species